rnacentral:rRNA from 1 species
AAAAUAUCCAGCUUGUCUGGAUUAGGAACUCUAGGACGAGGGUUUUAAUUAAAAUUAGGUUGUAGCUCCAGUGUUAGAAAAAACAGCUAUUCUUGAGAAUUUUUUUUAAUGCGACAAUAGGGACUCCAUGAAAAGAGAAAAUGAGUUGUAUAUUUUAAACCGAGGAAAUGGAUGUAUAAACAUAAGAGAAAUCUCUCUUCGAUUUAGAGAAGAGAAUGGCGGGGUCGGUUUGUUUCAUAAAUAUAAUCAGUUCUUUAAUUAAAAGAAUUUUUUUUAUUAUAUUGAAAGAAUUGAAACAUUUUUAGAUGUCCCAGAAGAGCAGAUUAUUCUUUUAAAAACGGAAAAUUGUUUUUUCAAUUUAAGAUUUAAAACACUUUCUCUGUCUAAUUUAAAGUACUCCAGAAAGUAAGGUCGAGGAUUAAUUCUUUGCUCACUAAUACGAUGGAAACGUGCCAGUUCUAUGGCGCCGUGAA